rnacentral:rRNA from 1 species
UUCACCUUAACAAAACCCCAAAUUUUAUUUAUAUUAUCAAAAUCCAAUAACACUACUAAGCUAUUCUAUAUUUUUAUAGAAGAAUUUAUGUUAGAACUAGUAACACAGAUUUCUUCUCUUACAUGUAAGCUCAAAUCAAUCCGAAUACCUCCUUGAUAAAUAUUCAACUCUGAACCUAAAGUGGCACCUCAUAUAUAAAACCCCACUUAAUAAACUGUUAACCAAACACAUGUACAUGAAAGAAAGAUAUAAAAAUUAGGAAGGAACUCGGCAAACACAAGUCCCGCCUGUUUACCAAAAACAUCGCCUUUUGAAUAUUAUAAAAGGUAACGCCUGCCCAGUGACAUAAGUUCAACGGCCGCGGUAUUCUGACCGUGCGAAGGUAGCGUAAUCAUUUGUCUUUUAAAUAAAGACUUGUAUGAAUGGCAUCACGAGGACUUAACUGUCUCCCUAAUUUAAUCAGUGAAACUGAUCUUCCUGUGAAAAAGCAGGAAUUUUCUCAUAAGACGAGAAGACCCUAUGGAGCUUAAAACUAAAAACUAACUGUAUAAUCUGCCAAAUUAAAUGACACUAACAUACAGGUUUAGCCUAAGUUUUUUGUUGGGGCGACUAUGGAGAAAACUCUAUCCUCCAUGAAAAUAUACUUUGAGUUACCACUCUUGGUAUUAGCAAGCCUAAAUUUAAUUGAUCCAAUCUUUGAUCAACGGACCAAGUUACCCUAGGGAUAACAGCGCAAUCCAUUUCAAGAGUCCCUAUCGACAAAUGGGUUUACGACCUCGAUGUUGGAUUAGGACAUCCUAGUGGUGUAGCCGCUACUAAU